GUGCCAGCGGCCGCGGGUAAUACGUAGGGUGCGAGCGUUGUCCGGAAUUACUGGGCGUAAAGAGCUCGUAGGUGGUUUGUCGCGUUGUUCGUGAAAUCUCACGGCUUAACUGUGAGCGUGCGGGCGAUACGGGCAGACUGGAGUHCUGCAGGGGAGACUGGAAUUCCUGGUGUAGCGGUGGAAUGCGCAGAUAUCAGGAGGAACACCGGUGGCGAAGGCGGGUCUCUGGGCAGUAACUGACGCUGAGGAGCGAAAGCUCGGGGAGCGAACAGGAUUAGAUACCCCCUGAGUUCACGCGUAAACGGUGGUACUAGGUGUGGGUUUCCUUCCUUGGAUCGUGCCGUAGCUAACGCAUUAAGUACCCCGCCUGGGAGUACGGCCGCAAGCUAAAACUCAAAGGAAUUGACGGGGGGCCCGCACAAGCGGCGGACAUGUGGAUUAAUUCGAUGCAACGCGAAGAACCUUACCUGGGUUUGACAUGCACAGGACGCCGGCAGAGAUGUCGGUUCCCUUGUGGCCUGUGUGCAGGUGGUGCAUGGCUGUCGUCAGCUCGUGUCGUGAGAUGUUGGGUUGAGUCCCGCAACGAGCGCAACCCUUGUCUCAUGUUGCCAGCGGGUAAUGCCGGGGACUCGUGAGAGACUGCCGGGGUCAACUCGGAGGAAGGUGGGGAUGACGUCAAGUCAUCAUGCCCCUUAUGUCCAGGGCUUCACACAUGCUACAAUGGCCGGUACAAAGGGCUGCGAUGCCGCGAGGUUAAGCGAAUCCUUUUAAAGCCGGUCUCAGUUCGGAUCGGGGUCUGCAACUCGACCCCGUGAAGUCGGAGUCGCUAGUAAUCGCAGAUCAGCAACGCUGCGGUGAAUACGUUCCCGGGCCUUGCACACACCGCCCGU
rnacentral:rRNA from 1 species